rnacentral:rRNA from 1 species
AGGGUGUAAACGCUGCAGGCUUGGUGUUGGGAACCCUUCGGGGGUGCUCAGUGCCGGAGAGAAGUUGUUAAGUCUGCUACUUGGGGAGUACGUCCGCAAGGAUGAAACUUAAAGGAAUUGGCGGGGGAGCACCGCAACGGGAGGAGCGUGCGGUUUAAUUGGAUUCAACACCGUAAAACUCACCAGGGAAGACUGUUACAUGAAGGCCGAGAUGAAGACUCUGCUAGAUUUUCAGAGAGGUGGUGCAUGGCGUCAGUGACU